GCUCUCUCCUCUAAUUCCCUGAUCCCGCUGCUCUCUCCUCUCCCAGGAAUUCCGGGAAUUCCCUGAUCCCGCUGCUCUCUCAGGAAUCCCAGGAAUUCCGGGAAUUCCCUGAUCCCGCUGCUCUCUCCUCUCCCAGGAAUUCCGGGAAUUCCCAGAUCCCGCUGCUCUCUCCUCUCUCUCCCAGGAAUUCCGGGAAUUCCCUGAAUGCGGAGGGCAGCGCUGGGCUCAUCCCGAAUUCCCGAUCCCAUGGAAAAGCCAGGGAAUCCCGCUCCAAACCCGGCCUGGCUCGGGACACCUCCCUUCCCCCGCUGGCAGAUCCCGAUUUUCCCGAAUUUCCCGAAUUUCCAGGACAGGAUCUCCCUCCCAAAGCCAUCCCAAGGGAAUUCCCAUCCUCCCCUUCCCGAAUCCGCGUCCAGCGGGAAAAUCUGACCCCGAGGGCUGCAGAGGAAGCGGGAAAAGGGAAAUAAAAUGACAAAAAUAUCCAAAAAAAAAACAACCCCUAAAAAAAUAAAUUAAACCCAGGAAUUGCCA
rnacentral:lncRNA from 1 species